rnacentral:rRNA from 1 species
GGCGCUUCACACCCACCUAGAGGAGCCUGUUCUAGAACCGAUGACCCCCGUUCAACCUCACCUUUUCUUGUUUUCCCCGCCUAUAUACCGCCGUCGUCAGCUCACCCUGUGAAGGUUUUUAGUGAGCUAGGCUGGCACAGCCCAAAACGUCAGGUCAAGGUGUAGCGCAUGAAAAGGGAAGAAAUGGGCUACAAUUGCUCCAACAGCUAACACGGACUGUUUGCUGAAAACGCACACAUAAAGGAGGAUUUAGAAGUAAGGGGCAAGCAGAGCGUCCCCCUGAAAUGGUUCUGAAGCGUGCACACACCGCCCGUCACUCUCCCCAGUAAGACUAAUACACAGUAUAUAAAUACACAAACCUACAAAGGGGAGGCAAGUCGUAACAUGGUAAGUGUACCGGAAGGUGCACUUGGUCGAGU